GUGUCUUCCAUUCAGAUGGACAGAGAGUUCUUAAAAAUAAAUUUCCAAAGGGAUUUGUUGAGACUAUCCCUGUAUCUUCCUGCACCAGUGAAGAGUACUAGUUUGACUUAGUAAGAAAGACUGAAUUGCAGUGCCAAAAUCAGUAGCUCUGCUCACCUUGAGUUCUGGCUGUCCAAAGGACAGUUCUCUGCAGGCACAGCUACACAGAGUUUGGCUUCCCGGCGCUGCUGAAAACGUCCUAGAAUCCCACCUGACUGGAGGUUGCUUUCCAUGCUUAGUCAGAAGUUCUGUGUAACCUGAGUUGAAAUAAUCCACAUGUAAAUCUUUGUCUACGGGAGAAAGCUCAAAAUAAACAAAAGAGAGAGCAGCUGGAACACUUGUGGAAGGACAUGGGCAGCGUGUGUGUGCAGGGCAGCACACUGGUAGGUACCUCCCCAGGAAGAUAAAGUUUACUGCAGAAGUUUUCUGAAGAGUUUGCCUUGUGAAGUAGUACAGCGCUUCUUUGUCCUCACAGCAGAAAUGUGAAAGCAGCUCCAUGUUAGAGGAGCAGGGCUUUAGUUCCUGUGGGAUUGGUCACACUCAGCUCGUCCUGUGUCAGUCACAGGUUUGGAAGAAACCCCGCUGUGUAGCUAAAGCAGUGGACCUACUAGAAAUAAUGAAAUACUUUAGAAAAGGCGAAACAGUCAGAUCAGAAUAUGAGAAAGCUCUGCUGUUGGCUGCACUGUUCCUUAGAUGAGGCGAGUAGGUGCUGAUGGAGUCUGUCCUGUGUCUGGGAUCCACAAGCAGCUUUCUGUCCCCUUAGAGCAGGUGUUCAUUGCUGGGUUUCUGUGCAGACAGAAGUUGUCAGUGCACACGCUCCCUUACCUUUAGCAAGCUGGUUUGUGUACAGCCGUUUCUGUUCCCUUCAAGGACCUGAUGCUUCUGCAAUGGGUCCCUCUGAGCUAAUACUAACAUGAGGAACUCUCGAUGAAGAGCAAGAAGAGAGGGAGAGUGACGCUGAUGGCAUUGACCACGAAGGUAAGGGAAUGAGGUCUAAAAGCUGCCUCUCAAGAAAUCCCCUCUAUAUUUCAUGUCCUGGAUGGACUGUAAGGAGAGCCUAGAAAACAAGCAAACAUUCAGUCACCUGACGUGUCAGAAUCUGUAGCAGAAGCUCAGCUGCAAUGGUCAGUGCAGGGAUAUCACUCUGUAACCUUUGUGAAAGUUCAAUUGUAAAUUUUCUAUUCAAGUAAUUAAUAGGUGUAUAACACACAUAAACCAGAGAACUCGUUAGGCUUGGGGCAUGCAGUGACCUCUGAACCUGAUUGAUGCACAGAUGUGUCCAUCAUCUUUUUGGCCUUACAGUUUCUGCCCCUGGCUCUCUUCCCUUUUCCUGUGACUGUGGUCUUGGAGCAAUCUUCUAAGUUGUUACAGUGUGAUUUUUCUCUUCUAUAGCUCACAGACUUAAUCUUCAUUCUUUCCCUGUUCCACUGAUGGGUAGGAUCACUUAUUUCCUUUGCCCUGUAAUGUAGCUGAAGAUGGAAUAGACUUUCUAUGUUGCUUUGGCUA